UACGUAGGGGGCAAGCGUUGUCCGGAAUCAUUGGGCGUAAAGAGCGCGUAGGCGGUCCGGUAAGUCCGCUCUGAAAGCCUGGGGCUCAACCCCGGGAGGCGGGCGGAUACUGCCGGGCUAGAGUCCGGAAGAGGCGAGUGGAAUUCCUGGUGUAGCGGUGAAAUGCGCAGAUAUCAGGAAGAACACCCGUGGCUAAGGCGGCUCUCUAGUACGGUACUGACGCUGAGACGCGAAAGCGUGGGGAGCGAACAGG
rnacentral:rRNA from 1 species